CCUACGGGUGGCAGCAGUGAGGAAUAUUGGUCAAUGGAGGCAACUCUGAACCAGCCAAGUAGCGUGCAGGAUGACGGUACUGCGUGUUGUAAACUUCUUUUGUGCGGGGAUAAAGUGGGUCACUAGUCCCCUAUUGCAGGUACCUCAAGAAUAAGCAUCGGCUAAUUCCGUGCCAGCAGCCGCGGUAAUACGGAGGGUGCGGGCGUUAUCCGGAUUUAUUGGGUUUAAAGGGUGCGCAGGCCGCCCGUUAAGCAUGGGGUAAAAGGCCGCGGCUCAACCCUGGCACUGCCGGGCGAACUGGCGGGCUUGAGUGGGACAGAAGUAGGCGGAAUGCGCGGUGUAGCGGUGAAAUGCUUAGAUAUCGCGCAGAACCCCGAUUGCGAAGGCAGCGUACCGUCGCCACACUGACGCUGAGGCACGAAGGCGCGGGUAUCGAACAGGAUUAGAUACCCCAGUAGUC
rnacentral:rRNA from 1 species